GGGGCUGACAGGUUUCGACGUCAGAUUCGAUGUUCGAGCGUGCGACCCGAGUUGCUCAGACUCGAAAAACGGGGCAACCAUACAACUGCCAAUAAGCAGUUCGCUCUCGCCGCCUAAUUUAUUAGGUGUCGGAGAGCACUCGUGAGCCGCAAGGUCGCACGGGGCCGAUCCACCGCAGCCCGGCAACAGAAGCGGGGGAUGACAGCGGGAAAGCACGCUGACGUUAGGAAAGACUGAUGACAUUUCGGAAAGACGAAACGCGACUUAGGUAACUAAGUAGUCGACCCGCCGACGGUGUUGCGUCAGCACCACAGCGGGGACGGUCGUAUCACGCGCGCUCACCGGCUGAUGGACGGGGGUUCGAUUCCCCCCAGCUCCACCA
rfam:Acidimicrobium sp. BACL19 MAG-120924-bin39 contig05401, whole genome shotgun sequence.